UUACGCCUAUGCAGUAUCGCAACCGCGACUGCGUGGCGUUGAUCACCUGAUUGUUGUAUUCAAUCGUACCAACCUAGUUUGAAAUACUAGCAAUUCCAUAAACGCUACUAGCAGUAGCUUCUAAUUGUAAGAAUUAUACGACCACGCAUUAGCUACUAUAAAUUUUACACCAAUUCCUCCAAGAUAAAGCUGUUUGAGUACUCGCAAAACACGAGUCGGGUAUUACUCGGCUCGAACGAUCGAUCCGAGCCGAGACUCGAAAGAAUCGCGUAGCUCAAAAGAAAUCGGGCGGCUUGAAAUGUAAGUGAGCGGCUCGAAUGUAAGCGAGCAAUUCGGACGCAUUUCAAGUAGUUUGCUACAGUUGAACAUGCUGAGUGAUCCGAAUAAACUGUUCUUCGUGUACAGUAAACAUAUUACUCUAUACAUAUUACAGUAAUAAUAUACAAUAUUUUUCGAGUAUUACGACAGCCUUACCCCAAAAGGCACAAUGUGGCGGUUUUAAGAUGUAAGUAGUAAGUAGUUCUAAAGGAAUUACAAUAUGUUAAAUAAUCGUGGAAUAUGGAGGAAAAGAAAAGGAAGCGAGCCCCACCUUAGACGCGAGGACGUUGAAAGGACGGGCGAAAACAGUAUACAUAUAUAUAUAUAAACUGAAACAGAUUGGCUACUUGCGGGAAAGGAGAAUCCACCUGACGUCGAAUGCCGGAGCCAAUCCCCCACAGUUGGCAACCCUUACUGGAAGGUAUCCAUUUGGUGUCGAGCGCAGAAGACAGGAGCGCCACAAUAAUCAAUUUUUAAUGCAUCCAUAACUAUACACACAUGUCGAUAUUAUCGACUGCUACAAUUUCAGAUAUCGGAUCGAUGUAGGGGAUCAUUAUGAACAUUUGGAAACCAAGAAAGUUAAAUUCGAUCUAAUUAGAUCUAUUAAAUAGAUCUAACCUAAUCUACCUAAAGAGGCUUCGAUCUAUAGAUCUAUUUGAUCUAUUACAUUUUUUCAACGACCCUGCAUUGUGCAAAUGCGGCAGAUUUAGUUCAGGCGUUUGUCGCCGCGUGGUGACAGCGUUUUCAUUAGACGUACUAUUUAAAAAAGAAAAAACAUAAAUAUAUAAGUAAUUAUGGCAAUUUAAUAUUAAAUAUAAAUAUGAAAUAUU